UGGCUCAGUGGUUAAGAGCACUGGCUGCUUUUCCAGAGGUCCUGAGUUCAAUUCUCAG
rnacentral:tRNA from 1 species